rnacentral:rRNA from 1 species
GCGUACGCAACGGNAGGGGCGCCGACCACGGUGAGAUUCAUGACUGGGGUG